GACGAACGCUGGCGGCGUGCUUAACACAUGCAAGUCGAACGGAAAGGCCCUGCUUUUUUUGUUUGCUCGAUUUGCGAACGUGUGAGUAACACGUGUGUAACCUGCCCUUUACUUUGUGAUAACUUCAGGAAACUUGUGCUAAUACCGUAUAGGAUCUCCUGCUGCAUGGUGUGUGUUGGUAAGUUUCGGCGGUUGGGGAUGGACUCGCUGCUUAUCAGCUUGUUGGUGGGGUAGUGUCUUACCAAGGCUUUGACGGGUAGCCGGCAUGAGAGGGUGACCGGCGACAUUGGGACUGAGAUACGGCACAGAAGCCAACGGGAGGGAGCAGUGGGGAAUAUUGCAGAAUGGGAGGAAGCAGGAGGAAGAAACGCCGCGUGCGGGAUGACGGCCUUCGGGUUGUAAACAGAUUUGGAAUGUGAAGAAGCGGGAGUGACGGUAAUGGGUAAAGAAGCAACGGCUAAGUACGUG
rnacentral:rRNA from 1 species